GUUGGGGUCUCCACUGCGGAGACGUAGCCGACGGAGCAGCCUGCGUUCCCCUCAGCCGUCCGACAGAUAGCGGACGUGGACCUUCCGCCCCUGGACUGCCCCGAUCGGCCGGCCGCUCCCCUCCAUCACUAGUAGGAGGUGGAGGUUCUCCCCAGAGGAUGCUGACUGAUGGAUGACAGCCAGACAGAGCAGCAGAAAGAGGCCUAUCAUGUUUCUGCCCAAGCUCUUUUACUAAUAGACUGUUCCUCUGCUGAGGCUUUGAUGGACAAAUGUGAGUUUCUUCAUAAUAUCCACGAACCAGAGCAGCUCGCCAACCAGAGAACAACUUUUUUACAAAGUACGGUGGUGCCGCUUUUAUUUUUAUUUGGUGAUUUCAGUAUUGGUGUCAACAUGAACGGAUUAGCAGACUAUAGGCCUCCCUGCUUGUCCUACUAUAUGUAGGAGGAUAAAACCCGCACUGGCAGCAUUGUUUGUCAUCUUUGUGGUCAUUUUGCACCUCUUAGUAGCCAUUGUGUCUCUUUCAGUGGUCAUUUUCAGUUUCUUUGAGGUCGUUUUGUGUGUCUUAGCAGUGGGUCUCUGUAAUAUUUUAAGUCAUUGUAAUUGUUUUUGCACAUCUUUGGUCAUGUGUCAUGAUUGAUGUUCAAAGCUUGUCAGUUGUUUUGUGUCUCUGUGUUUGUUGGUAGUUUAUGUGCAUCUCUGUGGUUAUUUCUACAUGUAGUUGUUUUGUCUGUUUGUGGUGCUUCUCUUUGUAGUUUAUCUUUUUGUUAUGUGUUUCUUUGUUGUUGUUUCACACCUAGAUGUAGUUGUUUUGUGUCUCUGUAGUUGUUUCCUAUCUCUUUGUAGUUGUUUUGCAUCUCAAGGUAGUUGUUUUUGUCUCUUUGUAGUUGUUUUGUACCUACAUAUAGUUGUUUCUUGUCUCUUUGAAGCUGCAUUCUGUCUCUUUGUAGUUGUUUUUGUGCCUAUUUGUAGUUGUUUGUAGCUGUUCUUGUCUAGAUGUAGUUGCCUGUAGUUGUAUUUUGUGCCUCUUUGUAGUUGUUUUUGUCUCUUUGCAGCCAUUUUGUGCCUCUUUGUGGUUGUUUAGCAUCCCUUUGUAGCUUUUUUAUGUCUUUUUGUAGCUGUUUUGUAUCUCUUUGUAGCUGUUUAUGCCUCUUCGUAGCUUUUUUGUGCCACUUUAUAGUUGUUUGGUAUCUCUUUGUAAUUGGUUUGUGUCUCUUUGUUGUUGUUUGUAGCUGUUUUGUGCCUCUCUAUAGCCAUUUUGUGCAACUUUGUAGUUGUUUUGCAUCUCUAGCUUUUUUAGUCUCUUUGUAGUUUUGUGUCUCUUUGUAGUUGUUUUGUAUCUCUUUGUAGCUGUAUUAUGCCUCUUUGUAGUUGUUUAGCCUCUUUGUAGUUGUUUUGUGUCUCUUUGUAGUUGUUUUGCAACUACAAAGUUGUUGUUUGUAUCUGUUUUGUGCCUCUCUGUAGUUGUUUUUGUCUCUUUGUAGCUGUUUUGUGCAACUUUGUAGUUGUUUAGCAUCUCUUUGUAGCCAUUUUGGGUCUCUUUGUAGUUGUUGUGCGUCUCUUUGUAGUUGUUUAGUGUCUCUUUGUAGCUGUUUUGUGUCUCUGUAGUUUUUGCUCCUAGUAUAUCAGUCAAAAUCAGGUAAUGGUUUAAUGUUACUGAAUGUAGGUAGAAUUCUGUGUAGAAUUUGCAAAUUCAAAGCUUUGUCUGGUUUUAUGUGGUGUUGACUGUUGGCUGUAGUUUUUCAGUGUUUUUUUCUUUCUGAAUGGUUUAGAUCAAGGUAGACUUAACCUCUACUGUGAAGCUGCAGGUCUGCUUUAUUCUAAUUAUUCAUAUUUUCAUUAAGCACAAAUUUCCCUGAGGAUUUAACCAAAUAAUCUCAACAUAAAUAGUACAGAUAUUAAAAUGCUGCACUAAACUUUAUACACUUGCUCAUGCACUUAUUUAAUUAUAUGAUCAUAUGGGUAUUUUAGCAAACAAAUUUGCAAAUAAUCACGAGUAAAAAGUUGUUUUAAUAACACAGCAGAGAGUAGUUUAGUUUGCCUGGUUUCUGAAGCAGCUUUGGUUUCCUUGUCAGCUGUUUUAGUUAAUGAGCUGCUGCUAAUGAACUGCUAAUUUGCCAAACAAUUGCAUUAGUGUAGCUUUCACUGAAGCCCUUUAGGGUCCCAUUGUGGAGUGUUCCAUGAGGUGAAUUAUUUCUGUCAGUUUUGGAAUAAUUCAAAACUAUCCAAGCAAUCUGUAAAUCAGAUUCAUUCAGGCUGCUAUCUGACUUAUUCCCAGCGUUUCCUACAAAUGUUCAGUCACCUCCUGCUUUUAACUGAGACUGGACAAUUACAUCAAAAGUACAGACCAAAGACAGAUUAUUAGCAGCUUCUUGUCUGGUUUUAGUUUCUGAACGUCCGUAUACUUCACUAAACUAACACUCCAUGCUCAGAUCAUCAUGAAAGGUAAUCUAAAAACAUAUGAACUUACCUGUUGAACAGAACCCAGAGGUCCACCCCCGCUGAUGACAUGGUAUAGUCCACUCUCUUCUUAAUCCAUAUGUAUCAUCAGCAGCUCUGUUCACUAAUUAAACUCCCAUCACUGACUGGUUGCUACAGUGCAGUAGCAUGUUCUGCGUAUACGAGCGUCUCUGGCUUCGGUUACCUGGCUGUUUCCUGAGCAUGCUCAGUAGAGUCGGCUGUCAUCUGAGAUGCACAGAUGUCAUGUCUGACUCCGUUUCCUGAGUCCAAUAUGAGCCUUGAACUUCACACUUUAAGCUUUAUUCUUUUUACCCUUAAAUGCCAGUAAGUCUGAUAGGAUUGCCACCAAAAGAAUCCAGAAAUAUGUACUUUCAAAAUUCAUAUAUUUAAUUUUCAUUCACUAUUUACAGCUCAUUGAAAUACUUUUCUUUUGCUUUCAAAGGUAUAUUUUGCAUCGUACCAAUUAUCUCAAAUGUCUUUAAAACCAAAAACAGAGGGAAAAGAAAAUAAAUAAAUAGAUAAAUAAUCUGGGUUUAUGGUCAGUUACUGUGUCCAUUACUAAUUAGCACACAGCUGACAUUUGGUAUUCUGUCUGAAUAAACACAUUCUUAUUAAUGACAUGAAUCAAAAAUUUGCUCAAAGAUGCUUUACUUGCCAGAACGCACAAUUUUUAUUCAGAAAAUUCAGCAUUUUAACUUCAUUUUCUUGUUUACAUUCAACAAUUCAAGUGAUUUGUCACUAGUCACACUAAAAAAAGUAGAAAAACUAGUGCAAAUGCAAAUUAUUUUGGCACUUUUAUGAUAAAAUUAGAAUCAAUGUGCAAUAAAACAGAACUUUAAUGAGCAGAGUGAGAAAUGAAAGGUACGUUUUCCAUCUUGUCAUUUUUAACUGUUUAUUAAUCUGUUUACAAGCUAAAUAUGUAUUUCAACAUUGAUUUUUGAGUAUUUUCAUAUCUAAAUGUCUUUUCUCCUUCAGAAAAAGCAAACAUAAUUUUGAUAAUUCAUUCUUAACUUGAGGGCAGAAACAUAAAUUUAUCUAAUCUAACGUGAUUUUGGGUGCUGGCCAACCCUGCUCUUUCAGCUGCCAAAAACAUUAUUUACAUUUUCAAAACACAGUGGUUAAUAUUUAAUAUUUUCAUUUGAACCUUGUCCUCAUCUUUACAGGUCAAACCAUGCAGAUAAGGGAAGUGUGUUUGCAAGCUAACAGUCCUUUCCUGCUCCUUAUCGUAACACUUUGUCUCCGUAUCACACUGGAAUCACUAAAUGCUCAAUGAAUCCAUUUAACAUAACCUGUGUUUAGAUAUCUCAGGGACUAUUAAAGAUAAAAGCCUGAAAGCUGAAAUAUAUCACUGAACAAGAAGAUGCAAUCUCUGAUUAUUACUUUUUUUCUGAAACAAUCUAAUGCCUUUGUUUCUGUGGUUCGACUGGUCAUACCUGCUCAAUCAGUUCAGGAAGUUCAUUGAACAUAAUUUUUCAUUUUUGUGAUCAAGUAUUAUUUAAUAUUUAAAAGUAUUCCAUGUUUUGUAUAAUUGUGACAUUAAAACUACAUAUGGCUCAGAAAGUAUCACUAGUUGACUUCUGCAUUAUCAAUCUUUUUGUUACUAUUUGUUUAAAGAUGGGACUCAAAUGACGGCUUCAACUCCUCCAUAAUCAGAGACUAUUUGAUCUACUUGUCCAACAUCACAGAUUCUGAAUCAAUGGCAGGAUGAUUAAAAAAUGGUAAAAAUUUCAGGCUUUUAUGUUUAGUGUCUGAGAUGUUGUUGUUCAUACAAAUAUCAAUCUGCAGAAAAACCUACUGAAAGUGGGUCAACAGGCAAUUUCUAUAAAAAAUAUCUCAAAGUAUUUGAUAAAUCAAACUUUCUAAACUAAUUUUAUCAGUGUUUAUAUUUUAUGCUAUGAAAAACUCAAGCAAAUCAAUGAACAGAAGCGAUUCAAAAAAUGUGACCAUUUGAAAUGGAAUGACCUUCAUAUCAGCAUAUACAAUUAUCACCAUAAGUAAACUAUUAGUAUUAGUAAACUAUUAUUAAUAUUAUUAUGUAGGAUUGUGUGCAAGUGCAAUUUUACUCUUUAGUGCAGUAACUCGCAAAUGUGAUUUGAAUGAAAGAUGUUAGAGUGUAACACAUUAAUCAGUUUUGUUGCUCCUUAAGACCUUCCAUUUGAAGCCAUCUCGGACGCCACUCUGUGACCUCAGACCUGAGGUACGUUGCUGUCAUCACAUGGUCAGGACGAUCUUCCCAGCAGCCCCGGAGGACUCGAUGAUGUCGUGGUGGGCCUGGGUGGCUUUGUCCAGCGGAUACUUGGAACCAACGACUGGACGCAGCCAACCAGCCUCCAUCCCUGCAAAGAGCUGCGCUGCACACUGCUUGGUCUCCUCCUGGGAGACGAACAAGAAGGAAAAAUGACAAAAAUGGAAAAUUAUUCUAUUUAUACCUGCAGCUGUAUGUCUCGGACACUGAAGAGAGGAGCAGAGCUGUCAACAGAUCACAGCCUGGUGAUGUGAUCUUACUUGUGAACCAGAGCUCUGAAGGCAGUGAAAUAUGGGAUCCCAAUGGCUGCUCCCUGAGCAAAGUCUAAAGCAUCAGGCAGCUUGUGAACACAGUCCUCAGCAGCGAUUGUGUAUUCUGCAUAACUUCCUGACUCGGUGCCUGUGGUGAAAACACGAUCACCUUUCUGGAAAACACACACAGGCAGUGACUCCUUCUCCAACAGACUCCACCACUCCUGCUGCAUCAGUGCCUGGAGUGUACGGCAGGGCGGGUUUCCGGGCGUGAGUUCCAGUCCGGAUCGGGUGUCUCACCUUUCCCUGUCCGGGCUGAGGGACGCUCACACCGGAGACCACUUUCAGGACCGACGGGGCUCCGAACUCACUGACCCGGAUGGCUCUCAUCACUCUGCUACCCGACAUGUCUGCACCCAAACAAACUCUACACACACGGUUAGAAAAUUCACUUUCACACACUUGCGCACUUCCUCUUUCGUCUGCUCUUCUUCUCCUAUUGGACUUUUGAUUUCCGGUUCCGGUUUUGUGUCCGCGCCCUCUGCUGGUCAGUUUGCAAAUGAUCUUAGAAACGACUCCCACCUUUGGAUCUGCAUCAUCCUCCAGUUUUUAAAUCAUUGCUCAAUCAACUAUCCAAUGACAAAAAAUUAUUUUAAAUACAUUUUUAAAUUUGUUUCACACACACACAUAUAUACUACCUGUCAAAGUCACUUUAAGCCACUGAAAUCACUUUAAACAUGGUGCCUUGAAAUAUCUAUCUAGCCAGCCAGCGAUUAGGCUUCAUUCGUUUACUGCUUUUACAACUUGUGAAACAGAUCAAAUGCUCUCUGGUUGUGACUAUUGUCAGGACUGACUCAGUAAAAACAUCAUCCAAGUCUUUUUUGACAGGAUGAAAUUUUAGAGUAGAGCUCUAGAGUUCUGAAACACAUGAUAUCAAACUUGUUGACAUUGUCAUUUACUCUCUCACGUAAAUCAUUAAUACUGAAGGUAGCAGCAAAUCUGCAGUGUGCUUAGGGCAGCUAAAAUCAAAUAAAAUCAUUUUGUCAUCAUGUGUGAAACCUCUUAGCGAGAGAGAGUUCGAAUCUAAAGCCAGGUUAAAAUUUAGUCAACAGUAGCUCCCCAUUCAUGCUGGUUUAGAUUAAGAGAAUCACAUACAGUUCAAAACUCAGACGUAAACUGAUGAUCAUGAAUAUUAAAAAUACCAACAAAUAAAAAAUGGUAAUAACCAAGAACAAUGGAAGAAGUAAAAUCUGAGAACUCAAUUAAAAAACGCUCUACUGGGUUUAGGCAAAUGAUAAAUAAUAAUAAUGCAGCCACUCAGAUGUCAGCUUAUUUUCAGGACUGUGGUUGUAGGACCUUUAUUUUCUACUCAACAGGACAAGAACUGAAUAGACCAACAUCUAUGGUCAGGAUGGACAAGAAUCACAACAUGAAUACUGAAUGUAAUAAAAUAGUUUUAUUUGAUUUACAAUAAAAACUAUUCCUAGCAGCCUUCAGUUGAAAAAGAAAGUUUGCUGAUGUGUUUGUGUCUUGAAAGUUCAUGAUUACAAAGACCACAGUGUGGGAUUACAUCAUAAUUUUACCUGAUAAUGACCUAAUUAUGCUAAUUACACAACUUAUUCAUCAUGUAACUCAUAGCAACCAGGUUGCAGGACAGAAUAAACAUCCUUAAAACUAUUAUUUGUAUCUUUAAAUGAUCCUCAUAUUAGCACAUCUAAUUAUCACCAUAGGUGAACUUUAAGAUUGUGUGCAAAUGCAGUUCAGCUCAACUGUUGUAACAAUCAAACAUGAUUUCAGAGAAAAGCUUUAUGAACCAGUUUUGUUGCUCCUUCAGACUCUCCCUUUAAAAACAGCCAGUCUGUGACCUUUGAGCUGAGGUAUGUUGCUGUCAUCACAUGGUCAGGAUCAUCUUCCCAGCAGCCCCGGAGGACUCGAUGAUGUCUUUGUGGGCCUGGGCAGCUUUGUCCAGCGUAUACUUAGGACCAACGAGUGGACGCAGCCAACCAGCCUCCAUCCCUGAAAAGAAGUAGGCUGCACUCUGCUUGUUCUCCUCCUGAGAGACGAACAGGGAGGAAAAAUUACUGAAUGGGAAAUAUUAUCAGGAUGUAUUUAUUUAAGUAAAUUGGAUGCAUGUGAAUAACUGUUGACUGUGAUAUCAUCACUGUAACUGACUGGUGCAUGCAGGUGUUUCUUUAAGUUUAAUUUUUUUUUCAUUUGCAAAAGAUUUAUACAUAUAACUGUCACGGUUUCAUACCGGUUUAGCGUAGAAAAUGACAACUGCUGUGACUAAGGCCUCUUUAGCCAUGAUGUCCUCUGGGUUGAUCUCGAUGGGACCUCUGGAGCCAAUAAUCUACAGAGGAAGGACCAAGCAGAGACAUGAGAGAUGAAGAGUUUAGAAAUGAAGGCAAGUCUGUUCAUCUGUAAAUCUGCCUGAACUUUUCAUCUUUGCAUGACGUCUGAUUGGAACCGUGACUGAAAUGCUUCUGUCAUUGUUAUACCAUUUUAAACACACAUUCUGUUGUCUGAGAUCAUAGAGUCCUACUGACCACAAUACGUCCUCUUUUGGCCACCAUCUGCAGGUCUUUAUUGAGGUUGGAAUUUGCCAGCAUCUCCAUAAUGACAUCUACACCUUUGCCAUCUGUGGCUGCCUGGAAAACACAAACACACAGCAUAUAUUUCAUCCAUAUAUCUAUUAAAACCACUGUUUCAAAGGCCUUUUCCUGUCGAUCCUCCUGCUAUAUGUGUGUGGUUACCAUGAUUUUAUCAGUGUAUCCUUUUUCUCUGUGAUUGAAAGCCCGGUGAGCUCCAUUCUUGAUAAUCAGCUUCAUCCCGUCUGGAGUCCCUGCUGUUCCCAGAACUUUGAGGCCCAUGGAACAAGCAACCUGGCAGGUGGCCAUACCCGUCUAUGAGAUGAAGAAAAUAUUGGAUUUUAGAACAUGGUUUCAUCUCUGCUGUAGAAUUUCUGAGUAUGUUGUAAUCUUUCAAGGACACGGACUGUAAACAUGGGUUUUUUCAAAGUGAUACAUGUGAAACAGUGAGCUGGAUGAUGUAAAGCAAUGCAAGGAUGACAUUACGUAUUAGUCAAUUGCUGUUUCCUUUGAGAUCACCACUUAAUUGACACAAGGUUUGAUGAACAACCAACUUCAAGGCUGCAUUCACUAGUACACAAGUAUUCUUUAAAUCAUAGAUUUGUGUUUCAGUGUUUUGUUCACAUGCAAACACAAAUGGAAAACUUCCUGGGUGAAGAUAUCUUGGAACCUUAGUAAAAAAAAUGCUUAAAAAAAACUUAUAGUCUCACCCCUCCACUGGCUCCAUGAAUGAGGAGGGUUUGUCCGGCUUUGACACGAGCUCUGCAGAACACAGCAGGUAAACAAUAAAAAAAAUAAAGUGGUGGAAAAAAGUUUUCAGACACCCCGUGCAUUUAUGAAAUAUUGCAUUAAGAAUCGCUCUUAGGUCUCCAAGUGUAUUUUGUUUUAGUACAGUCACAGUCAAAAUACAAAGCAAAUCAUAAAAAAGCCAUUAAAACUUACAUAAAAACACAUAAGAAAUUUUGAGUAUUGGGUCAUUUUGGUUCCAAUUCGGAAUCUCGCCGCGCGCAAGGUAUGCUGGUCCGGGUGAAAGGUCGGGAUACCCCAGAUCAUAAACAUGGCAGAGUGCUACGCAGAUAUUGAUUACUUUGAGCGUUGUAAAGUCGAUGCUUUAAAGGAAUUUUGUAAGAAACGAGGAUACAGUGUUAUCGGGAAACGAAAGAAAGAACUCGUGUCCCUGGCUUGGGCAUUGUCAUUUCAAAAGGCCCCAAUAGUUUUAACAAAACAGCAGGAAAGGGAGGCUGUCAACCUUGAUUAUAAAUCCCUGCUCGAGAUCGAUGUUGACGGGUGUCACCUGAGAAUUCCAGAUCCUUUAGAGCUCAGAGAAGGUUGGGAGAAUGAGUCGACAGCAGCAAAUAAAUGGCCACCCUGCAUGUACAUAGAUAUCAAUAAUUAUCUGAUUAGCAAGGACGAGCAAAACUUGCUAACGACUACAAAGUCGGCACGAUGUUCUGAAUCUUUUCUUUCAGUAGGAAAUGUGACGAGUAUAUAAAGCAGGUCACAUAUACAGCGCGAGGUUCCUUUAUUGCACUCGUGAAUAGGGCAAAAUUCUUCCAUCCACUUCUUUAGCCCACGGGUACCGUUGUGGCAGUCCCGCACUGAACAAUGGGACCUGGCAUAUUGCCUUAAAAAGACUUUAAGCAGUGUAAACACUUAAUAGUCGCUACAAAUAGCAGGUCGUUCCACUGCGAUAGUAUCGCUUUAUCGAGCUUUGUUGAUAACGUAGUGUGGGAUGAACUCUGACCCGGAAGCUAUUGAGGGAUAAACGCGCAUGCGUACUGAUAAUUCCGAUUUGGCUUAUUCAUUCUGUGCUAUUUUUCAAUGAGUCAGUGAGUGACCGGUGACUGGCUGCUGCAGCCAAUGAUGCGAUUCACAUACGUAUUUACCAUAGACUGUAUAUAAUGGUAUUUACGCAGCUAAUCAACGUCAGGCGUCCUUAUGUGCAGCUACCGUUGUUCUCAUAGAUAUGAAUGAGUCGAUAGGACACGCCCCUUUGAGCUACGUGCUACAGCGAGGCUAAGCUAGUGGGGGAAAAGUUUCAGUGCAUUCUGUUGAUGUAGACGGCGUGAAAACGGAAACAACAAGUAUGCCGGCUCACUGUGCUGCAUACAAUUACACUACGUCAUACGAUUGAGACAAGGAAACUUGGAAUGACUUUUCAUAGGUAAGAAUAAUUUUUGGCUCUUUUUUCAUUAUGAAAUCUUGUUGAGAGCUUCCAGUCUAUGAGAGCUAACUAGUUAGCCACUAGCAAAACGCUUUCAUUUGCACAACUGACUUCCCCUCUUGACGUCCCUUUAGUUUGCCCCUAGUUAUGCUGCUAUAGGCCUAGGCUGCUGGGGAACCUCUCUGGAUGCACUGAGCCCUUCUCUAACUACCUAUGUAUUUACUAUAUAUACCAUUAUUGCAUUACAUUCACUCUGUUUCUUUCUGUGUCCUUUCUCCGAGUGUCCCUGGUCCCAGAGCUGGAUGCUGGAUGCUUCAGAUGUGUGGCUGUGUUUUAUGGUCCUUGUGUCCCACCCCCCCACCUCUCUAUCUCUACCCCUCUAUCUGUAUCCCUCUAUCUCUACCCCUCUAUCUCAACCUCCCUACUUCUUCUGUCCCUCUCAACCCGCCCGGCCAGCAGGCAGAUGGGUCCCCCCACAUUAGAGCCGGGUUCUGCUCAAGGUUUUUUUCCCUGUUAAAAGGGUGUUUUCCUUGCCACUGUCGCCUUUUGGCUUGCUCUGGGGGUCAGGCAUAUGGGUUCUGUAAAGCGUCUCGAGACAAUUUGACUGUAAUUGGCGCUAUAUAAAUAAAAUUGAAUUGAAUUGAAUUGAAUUGAAUUAAGGCGAGCUAGCAGCUUGACAACCAAAUACCAGACGAUUAAUAGUAGCUGUAGUAUAGUUGUACAAGCAGUAGUAGUAAUACUAAAAGUACAAGCAGCAGUAGUAGUAUAAACAGCUGUUAGAGUCAUAGAAGUAGUAUCAGCAUUUGUAAUAGUAUUACAAGUUGUAGUAGCAGUGCCAGUAUCAGCAGCAGCAGUUAAUGUAUGUUAAUGUCCACAGCUGUCAGUAGGUGAGGAGCAACAAAAAAACAGUCCAAACGCUGGUUUCCAGAGGGUUAGAUGAGAAUUUAUUUGAAAGAGUAAGUUUACAACAACACAACAUGUGAGGGGGUUAAAAACAAAUGGGUGUUAGUAAAAUAAAAAUAAAUAAACAGAACUAAAAGUAAACUUCGUGUUGACAUUGAUGGGCAUUCCAACCAGGAACAAAGUAAAAGAUAAUCAAUACGAAAAAAAACUUUUCCUGUUCAUCUCUUAAAACCCAAAAACACACCGCAGUAGCACCCUAAACUAAAACUACCAAUGGGUUCCCUGUUUUCCUUUGUGAACAAUUCAAAGGUCCCUCUCUAUCUCCCCACACAUCCACCAACCACUGGAACACAUCUCCAAAGUUCUGCUGGACCAGCUCAGCUUCCCCUCAGAAGAAGUGCCGCCACCGACCAGAUGAAGGAGCCUUUUGAGAGGCAGCUGGCAUCGUGAUUGGACUGUACUUUGGUCUGUUCCAAUCCAGCUUCAGCUCCAGAGACAGCAGGCGGGACGAGUCAACGGAGGCCUGGUGGACGAAGGCAUGCAGCUGAGUACAAUCCAGAAAACAACAGAGGAGGAGUGCAGCAGCCAGAACAACCACAGUAGCAUCAUAUGUCUCUUAGAAAACAUCAUAGUAUAGCCUUUGGUAUGAAAAAACGCCAUCAUAUACAUCGUAUAUUGUACAAAUAACAAGUCAAAGGAAAGAGACAUACAUUGUAGAAUUGUAGUAAUUGUGGGCUGACUGAUUUACUGAUUAUCAGUAUUUUAUUUUUUACUGAUUUAUGGUAAUAAAUAAAUUUUAAAAUGGCGCUA